rnacentral:rRNA from 1 species
CCUACGGGGGGCAGCAGUCGGGAAUAUUGCGCAAUGGAGGAAACUCUGACGCAGUGACGCCGCGUAUAGGAAGAAGGUUUUCGGAUUGUAAACUAUUGUCGUGAGGGAAGAAGAUGACAGUACCUCAGGAGGAAGCUCCGGCUAACUAUGUGCCAGCAGCCGCGGUAAUACGUAGGGGGCAAGCGUUAUCCGGAUUUACUGGGUGUAAAGGGAGCGUAGACGGCGAUGCAAGUCUGAAGUGAAAGCCCGGGGCUCAACCCCGGGACUGCUUUGGAAACUGUAUGGCUGGAGUGCUGGAGAGGCAA